rnacentral:lncRNA from 1 species
UAAACUUUAAAUUUAUAUUUAACCGUCGAUUGUCAUUUACGCUUUAUUCUUCUUACUAAAUUUCAUUUUUUAAAAUUUCAUUUUUUUUUAAAACAUGAUCAUCUGGCGGAUGUAAGAAGAUGAAUGAUUCAGAUCUUUAAUAUCACGUUUCGAUAUUUAUGGUUAAUUGAAAUAUGAGUCGAUAUCAUAUAGUUUGUAGAAACUUUAUAAACAUCAAGCAAUAUUUUCACUAACCGUAAAACUCUGAAUAUAAUAUCAAUGAUGCAAACUGUUCAUCUUCUUGCAUCCUCUAAUAUAUCAUGUUUUCAAAAAAGAAAAUAUGAAAAAACAAAAUUUGAUGAGAACAAUGAAGCGUAAAUGUAAACAACAUUCAACGGUUAAAUUUUGAUCUAUGAUUUAUAUGAUUAUAGUGGCGAAUUUCCAAGUUAAGCUCUUCAUGAAAGUUGUAAAGCUUGUCAUUACGAGCGUUUAUAUAUUUUUUUGUAUAUUUUUUACACUUCUACAUUAAUUAAAAAACUAUUAAAGACUUUACUUAAUUAAUUAAGCUAUUAAUUAAUCUAUACCCAUUUUGUUUCAGAAGCAAUGGAUGCUAGAGAUUCAGAUUCAGUAAACCUUAGUGAUGAGAAGUCCGUGGAGAUUAUAAUGGGAACAUAACAAGAUCUUGGAAGCGAAAGUAUAGACAAUACAAAUACGAAUCUUGCAAAAAAAAAAAAAAGGCUAGAGCAAUCAAUUUAGGUAAGCAAAAAUAUACUUAAAAAAAUGUGUUUUUAUGUUUUGGAUGUAACAAUAUGAUAUGUAUAUACUUAUUUAGUAUUAUGUCUUUCAUUUGAUUAUUUAUUGGUUUAAAACAUAUUUUCCUUAACAGGUAACGGGUCGGGUCAUAUUACCUGUUAAUAUU